AUACGUAGGGUGCAAGCGUUAAUCGGAAUUACUGGGCGUAAAGCGUGCGCAGGCGGUUAUAUAAGACAGAUGUGAAAUCCCCGGGCUCAACCUGGGACCUGCAUUUGUGACUGUAUAGCUAGAGUACGGUAGAGGGGGAUGGAAUUCCGCGUGUAGCAGUGAAAUGCGUAGAUAUGCGGAGGAACACCGAUGGCGAAGGCAAUCCCCUGGACCUGUACUGACGCUCAUGCACGAAAGCGUGGGGAGCAAACAGGAUUAGAUACCCUGGUAGUCCACGCCCUAAACGAUGUCAACUGGUUGUUGGGUCUUCACUGACUCAGUAACGAAGCUAACGCGUGAAGUUGACCGCCUGGGGAGUACGGCCGCAAGGUUGAA
rnacentral:rRNA from 1 species